GGAGCGAACGCUGGCGGCAGGCCUAACACAUGCAAGUCGAGCGCCCCGCAAGGGGAGCGGCAGACGGGAGAGUAACACGUGGGAACGUACCCUUCAGUUCGGAACAACCCAGGGAAACUUGGGCUAAUACCGAAUACGUCCGUAAGGAGAAAGAUUUAUCGCUGAAGGAUCGGCCCGCGUCUGAUUAGCUAGUUGGUGGGGUAAUGGCCCACCAAGGCGACGAUCAGUAGCU
rnacentral:rRNA from 1 species